rnacentral:sRNA from 1 species
UAUUCUGCCCCACGGGGAAGGAUGAGAAGCUUCGACUAAGGUUCGACUCGAGCGAAGCGAGAGAACGUUGCCGCAGGCAACGGCCCGAAGGGCGAGGAGCGAUAGCGACGAGUAAUCCUUCCCCCACCACCA